rnacentral:rRNA from 1 species
GAACGCUGGCGGCGUGCUUAACACAUGCAAGUCGAACGGAAAGGCCCUGCUUUUGUGGGGUGCUCGAGUGGCGAACGGGUGAGUAACACGUGAGGAACCUGCCCUUGACUUUGGGAUAACUUCAGGAAACUGGGGCUAAUACCGGAUAGGAGCUCCUGCUGCAUGGUGGGGGUUGGAAAGUUUCGGCGGUUGGGGAUGGACUCGCGGCUUAUCAGCUUGUUGGUGGGGUAGUGGCUUACCAAGGCUUUGACGGGUAGCCGGCCUGAGAGGGUGACCGGCCACAUUGGGACUGAGAUACGGCCCAGACUCCUACGGGAGGCAGCAGUGGGGAAUAUUGCACAAUGGGCGGAAGCCUGAUGCAGCAACGCCGCGUGCGGGAUGACGGCCUUCGGGUUGUAAACCGCUUUCGCCUGUGACGAAGCGUGAGUGACGGUAAUGGGUAAAGAAGCACCGGCUAACUACGUG